UUCUCCAGCAGCUUGGCUCCAUGCAGAUUUCCAGCCUCUUAAGCCUCCUGCAGGUGUGUCUGCAGGGAAGACUUUUCAGGCUCCUUUCCGGGUUGCUGCACACAAGCCAAGCUCCCAUCGCAGGGGUCCUCCGAGAGGGAAGAACAAACCUACAGGAGACAGUAAGUCCCUGGAGGCAUCCAAACACAUGGAGAAGACAUUGAGGGAUGUGGAGAGAUGCCGUGAUGCAGCUGGCACCUCAACACAUGCUGACAAGACCUGGAAAAGCAUGAGAAGAGUUUUCUGCUGGGGAACACCUUGUUUGGUUAAGUUGAUGGCCAUUGUAGUUGGCGCAGCACUUUGCCUGAUGAUUUGCUCUGCUGGAAUCUGGUAUUGUUGGAAGAGAAAAUGGUGCUCCUGCCCAUCUUCAGAAGACAAGCCUAACAACUCUGGCAAAGAGAACUUCACCCGUCUUCCCAGCUCUUCACUUCUGUCCCCAUCUGCCCUGCCACAGCUGCAGCACCCUCUUGAGCCCUUCCCCAAACUCACCCCUCCAGAACAAGACCCUCCACCCCUGAGCCCCCUGGUCCUGUUCCCCAACUACGACUAAAGGUGGGCAGGCCUCGUCUGCCAGGGCAGGGCUUGGCCCACAUUUUAUGUUCAAAUAAAAAAAUAGAGUUGUCAUAGAUA